UUGCUUCCCAGUCCUUUAAUUCUGUAUGGAUUAAAUCGCAAUAUGAAUACAGCAUCGAACAAAUACCGAGUCUCUCUCUGAACUCAGUGGAACGCAGUUACGUCUAGCAGAAUUCAAUGAAUUCCUCUUCUCCCUCAAUGUAGUAUGUGUGUGUUUUUCUCUUCCACCACACUGAAGUUCCAUGAAUAGGGAAAGUGGCUCCUAUUGUGUGCCUCUGAACUUCCAAGUCAAUGCAAUUUUUAACCACUGGCUUGUGGUACUUUGAAAAUCACCAGGGGCUGUCAGAGUUGGGUCCUCUGAAAAAUUUACAGUGCUAAAUCAGAGCAUAUGCUGUGAGAGAGGGAAAAAAAAUGCUUAAGAUUGGAGCAAGUACAGUAUCUGGCUGCCCCCUAGUGUAAGACUCUUAUCUGCCUAAAAUUCAACUUUAAAAGAAAAGGAUCUCUUAAAGGGAAACGACUUUUGGCUCACGUAUGCAUGCGAGAAUGAAACUUCUGUACAUUUUAAUCUGAUUAAUACCUAAGGAUUUAAGAUUAAUUGACUUGGGCACUCCUAGACCGGACUCUAACAUUUCUGCGGCAGGGCUCCCUUCAAGAAGCCCUGUAUUCAAUAGAGCAGAGCAGUUGCUGCUUUAAAAAAAGUCACAUCUGCGCCUUUUGCAAUAAAAAAAGACCCAGGAUAAAUAUUUGCCUUAAAGCUGCAGACGAGCUGCCCACAACCACACCUUCGGAGGUCUGAAGACAGAAAUAUGUGCACUAUUCAGAGGUGCGUACAUUUUUGAUGCAGAAAGCAACAGUACGAUAUUGUGCCAUAAUGAAUCCUUCAUCCUGAUUGAAAAAGUGCAACAGGGAAACAUGUUUAAUAGACUGAAAAAUAAAGAAAUACCAGCUAAUGGAAGCCCAUGAAGUGCUGGUUCUUACUGCCCAAUUUCCCACCUGUAGCCAAGGGACAGAAACAAACCAACCAUCAAACAGGAACAUGAAAGACUAGAAGUUCUGCUUCGACGCCAAGAGUGACAGACACAUCAGAAAUAAACUAGAAUACGAGAGAGAGAAAGACAAAUAAGCGAGCGAGCAAGCAUGCAAGAGCAAGCACGCGCAUCCUUUUGCUGUAUUCUUCAGUAUUGUUUUAAUUUGUGCUUAUGGCAUCAGUUUACUAUCACAUCAGUGAUUGUGGUGAUAUCAUUUUUCACUCUGAAAUUAAGCAGAAUAAGCUGAAGAAACAAGCCCCAGAUGUUGAUAUGAGUAAAGCAAAAAACCCGAUUUCCAAAUAAUGCCCAGAAAAAGACAUGUCUUUUUUGGGUAGUGAUGUCAACAAAUAUGCACCAGGGCUCGGACCCACUCUAACUGAGCUCAGGGUUGAAAGUUUACUGCAUUCACAGAAGUCUGGCCAGCAUGAUGUGAAAACAUUUGCUGAGAAGCUUCCAAUCAUUCUGCCUUCCCCUGGCUCCCCAGAAUAAUCUCUGAAGACAUUGAAAAGGUUCAAUUAACUGGAGAAGAGUCCAGAUUAGAAGAGCACAUGUAACUCUUCCAUCAGGCUGCUAUUCUACUCUCCUCUUCUUCCAUUUUAUGGUAAAAUAAUGAAGAAAUGAAGAAGGAAGCUUUCUUGAGUUUACAGCAGAAAUAAAGCCAAAAAAACAUGGACAGGAAGGCUUCUCUAGACCAGAAACUGGAGCAAAGCACAGAAAUGCAUGCUUGUCAUUGAAGUGAAUGGAGAAGAAGGAAGAGGAGAAUGAUAAGAUCGUCGCCUGCAGCACUUUGUUUAUGAGAACAUCCUUCCAGUGAUGUCCCACCUAGAGAGUUGUGAUGGGCCCCUCUUUUUCUACUACUUCCAAAGAUUGUGGAGUUCUGCAUUAUCUUCGUUAUCUGUAUGAAGCCAUUGAAAAGGGACAUUUUGAAGCAUCACAGACUAAUAAAGACCAGCCCUGGGAAGAUGACACCUUGCUCUAUAUCACCUUGACAUCAGACACAGCACCAUCUCACAACUCUCUAGGUGGAGAUUGGCAAUUGUCUGGAGAGAAGCUGUUUAACCUGGAGCCAGAAAUGUAUCCCCUGCCUUUCAUCUGAUUUGCAAAUGACAAUCAUUAAAAUAAUAAAAUAAAAUAAAUUAAGGACAUGCCUUAUAAUAUGGUAAGUUCCUAGUUCUAAAAAAACCAAUAUAUAUAUAUAUUUUAAAAUCAGUUCUCCAGUUAUAACAACAGGCAUACCCAGAUUAUGGGGCAAGAAGAAAACGUCCUUUGUUCUGUUCACAUGAGCUUCUAGAAAACUGUUAUUCUGUAUACUUGCCUGAUACUACACUUAAGAAAUAUGGGUGGGAUUUAAAAAGCACACAGCAUUGACCAGCCCUACCUGAAGUCAAUGGGGGUUUUCCCCAGGUUGCAAUAAGAAGCAAAGUUGGCCAGUGCCAAGCUAAUUUGAAAAGUCUACUUGCAAAAGCUAAUAAAUAAUCCUAUGUAGAUCCAGCCCUCACCCAUCAAACAAAGACUGUCAACAGUGUGUCCCUGGAGCCUUCAUGAGUCGUACCAGUGUCUGUAACCAACAGCAUUGACAAAAGGAAGUGAUUGGCUUUCAUCACAUCUGGCUGCCUUUGGCUUCUGAGCCCAAGUGAUCAAGCACCCUACAUUGGGCCACGGUUUGAUGCAGAGUGGCCCAUAGCAUGCAUCUGAAGUGGGAGAAGACAUGCUUCUGGAGAUAUCUGAUAUGCUCUGAUAUCAAUAUCCCACCACGCGCCUUCCAAAACCCCUCACUCCAAGACCUCUUUUUUGCAAAAGCAAUUCCAUGGGACCCCUCUGCAGACAUACGCUCAAGAGAAAAGUGUAAAAAUAAUACCGAUUGUGCAUGUGUAUUUACAUAAAUAUACAACAAUAUCCACGAUUCAGUGAAUGAAGGCAUUUAAGAAACAAAAAAACCAAAACAGAAGCAUUAAAAAAGAAGAGACUGCUUCUCCGGGGAAAAAAAUACAACUUGGGUCUUUAAAGCAGACAAAAGAAAUGCAUGUUUGCAUUCGCAGUGAAGAAAUACUUAGAUAUUUGAACACCUAGACAGUAAAAGAACCAACGCUAACAAUUGUACCUGUAAAACCUGCCAAACAUACAGCGCAAGUCCCUGAUCCCUGUAUCUUCACUGUUUCUUUUAAAUACCGAUCUACCCCUUCUUUGAGUAGAGCCUCACAAAACGAACCUUGCAGUUGCCCCUGUUGUUUUCCCUUCAAAACUCAAUUCCAGCCGAUCACACGGGUAAUUCUAAGAAACAAUUUUAUUUUCCUCUUGAUUUUUAUUAAGCAUUUUGGGGGUUUGUUGUUAAAAUCUUCCCCCUCCCUUUUGCAUCGGUGGAGCCAAUAGCUUGUUUACUUCAAAACAAACAAACAAAACCUCCGUCCCCCCCCAUCCCCCUAGCUGCUCUCUUUAAUGACAUCUUCAGUCAUUAAUGAGUUAAUAAAAAUCUCAAAGUCAUCUGGGGAUAGAUAAGGAGAAAGAAAGAAGAGUAUUGUACACAUAAUGACAGGCUCCCUGCUGCCCCUAAGAUGUCAUGGGUCAGCCAUGUUAAGAAUGUGUGCACCCAAUCAUCUGCUGAUUUUUAUCAGCAAGGCCUCAAGCAGAAUCUGACACGGGCCAGUUUGGGAGUUACAAUGAAUAAACAAUGACUUCUUGGAUUGUUGGCGGCUGUAUGAUAGAGUGAGGGGGUUUAUAUAUACUAAAACAUGAUGACAUUAGCAAUCAAUAUACCAAUUACUGGACAAGUUAUUGGACGAAGAAUGCACAUGUCUCGAGCUUUGUACGCUUUGAACGUACAACCGGCAGUGGAAACCCACGGUAAUAAUGUGGCUUAACCCCUCGCAAGCCAGGCAAGCUAAACAUCGGGCAGAGCCUUGAAGUCUCCCAGACCGCGUGCGAAGGGAAAAACCUGAACGGAUCGAGAAUGUCAAAUCUUUCAGAUACAUGACCUGACAUCCAUUUCUCUUUCAUAUAGGCGUUAAAAUACAAUAUACUAUACAAUACAUAUACAAUACAUAUGUAUAACGUCUAAAUGUAAUGCAUAACGUCUUAAUGUAUAAUGUAUAUAUGUUUACAAUAUAUGUGACCACUUCUAUUA